rnacentral:rRNA from 1 species
UACGUAGGCAGCGAGCGUUGUUCGGAGUUACUGGGCGUAAAGCGUGCGUAGGCGGUUGGCAAAGUCAGCUGUGAAAGCCCCGGGCUUAACCUGGGAAUGGCGGUUGAAACUAGUCGACUGGAAUCUGGCAGAGGGGGGUGGAAUUCCACGUGUAGCAGUGAAAUGCGUAGAGAUGUGGAGGAACACCGAUGGCGAAGGCAGCCCCCUGGGCUGAGAUUGACGCUCAGGCACGAAAGCGUGGGGAGCAAACAGG